UACGGAGGGAGCUAGCGUUGUUCGGAAUUACUGGGCGUAAAGCGCGCGUAGGCGGCUUUGUAAGUUAGAGGUGAAAGCCCGGAGCUCAACUCCGGAACUGCCUUUAAAAACUGCAUCGCUUGAAUCCAGGAGAGGUGAGUGGAAUUCCGAGUGUAGAGGUGAAAUUCGUAGAUAUUCGGAAGAACACCAGUGGCGAAGGGCGGCUCACUCGGAGCUGGUA
rnacentral:rRNA from 1 species